UUACUUUAUCAGAUAAAAGGGGAGGGCACGAGCCAAAGAGGAAGAGGGACUCGAAGAAGAAGAGGUGCGGCGAUGGACGAAAAGGGGCAGGGUUUAGGAUCCCAAAUGGGUUCCGUUCCUGUGCUGUGCGGCGGUCGCACGGGGCGGGAGUAGACCAGUUCCCGCGCCGCCUCGUCCUGAGGCCGUGCAAGCCACUGGCCGACCUGAAGACGUUCCGCUUGGACAAGUGCCCCGCCCCGCGCCGCGCCUCCCGCCCCUCCUCACGCUCCUCGGCAGCCACCGCGUCCUCUCCUAGUACGUGGCCUAGUUGAGGUUCUACCGCGUGUUCAGCAUGGUCGACCCCGUCGUCGAUAGCAACGCCACCUGCUGGCCGCAGCCCGGCGCCUAGCCCACGCACGCACUGAUGGGCGGCCUCGACGUCAAGGCCAACGACCUCCUAAGUCCGAAACUUUAACACGGUUCAUGUAAACGCAAGCCACCUCCUAAGCCCGAAACUUUAACACGGUUUUUGUCUGUGUCUUUGUCUUAAACUCGUUGUGACUGACAGACGACAUUAGAUAUAUGUUGUCUUAAACAUGACGUAGGAAUCAAAUCGCGUAGGGAGCGUGGUGCUCCUUUUAUAGUACCUUAACUGUUCUCGUUCCGUCCUCUAUACGACCCUCGGUUUUAGUUAUCGCGGGUCUGACGUACGUCUAUAUAUAUCGGAGUUGUUCUACUUAACACUCUAGCUCGAGGAAGUCAAAGUCGUAUUCGGGGGCGUAUUUAGUAGUGGAAACCUCGUCACGAAUCAGGGUUUGGUAAUUCUAAGACAUUGCCGACUUUAAGAGGUUCGAGACUUAGAGACUGCUACUACCCUAGGUCUGUGGGACUUCUUUGAUGUAGGUCAAGUCAUGUCAGUCCCCCAGAAGGUUGGCACACAAAGAAGUACCGUUCCAAACGAUAAACAACACAUAGUCAGGGUCGUUCAACAUCAAACCAAUAAGAACAAGAAGUAACAAUCACUUCUUUUUACUGUUACAUCAGGGUCCAGACACAUGCACUCCAAAAGUACCAGGAACUCGACAACAAUGUACGUCCCGGCACGAACGGUUCUUAGCUUUGGCUAGGAGGAACUUCUACCAGGCCGGAGGUCAAGUAGAUAGCUUCCUAUCAUUAUGAUGAUGACGACGUUGAUAGAACAACAUAGCGAGACGAAGGUAUACGUUUUGUUACGUAAUUGGACAAGAAAAAAAAAACGCCCUUUUUAUUACGCAACUAGUUACAUAAGAGGUAAGGACUAACAGUAUACAAAGCUUAAGUAUUCUAAUCGAUAUACUUUCGGUACCACGUAUAUUACAAACAAAGUAAAGAAUCGCGUCAUCGAGACCAUACUUUCUGACUGCUUGUACCCACUUAUUCGACCCUCCUUGCCUGUCGUGUCACUGUUACCCAUCCACGUUGGAAGCCUCUUUUCACACAGUUCCGUCGUUAAUAUCAACCAUUGUACUCGACGGGGUCAGCGUACCGUCACAAGACCGGUUCUACCAUGCUGUGUAUCAACGAGCGGGUUACUUCCCUUACAACUAGACCAUUGUUAGGAAUAGACUAGAAAACAGUAUUGACCGGUUGACUCAAAUCAUGAGGGAGGAAUGGUUUAUAUUCUACAAAAACGUCAAGUUUAACUUGAUGUUUUUGCAGAAUAUAAAACUAUGUAUCCAUCAUCGAAGGUAUCUUUUACGUAUGUACUACAGGUUCCUACGAUGAACCGUAAAGGCAGAUCUCCGAGUGUACAACGAACUAUAGAAGAGUACAAGCUCUGGACGAAUCGUGGAGGCAAAUCUCCGUGGCGCGCUAACAAUAAACCAGUUAUGUCAGUAAAAUACUGAGACCGUAAUAGCAUAACCUGGCCCCUAACAAAUGACAUGUUAUUAUUAACAUGUAUCGAAGACAGUUUAUUAGCUGGUGAGUCAAACUACGACUACUUAGACUUAGUGUUGAAGACAACUUAAGGCCAGCAAUCUCUAUGUCGUUCUUAAAGCUAAACCGUCCAGGGAGUGCCUCUGUGACCUCCUCUACCACACGAGUUGGACUCAAGCGGAAGUCGUAGGAGGAUAUCAAACUGUUCAGGUACUCACGGUGCGGAUGUCGGGGUCCAGUUCUCGUUACGGAAGAAGUUCCACGGUUGGUUUUACUGUGGAGAGGUGUGUAAAUAGUGACAUAACAUGUCCAUGGUUACCUUAUUACGAUUUUAUGGAGCUACAACGAUGGACAAACAAUCACAUUAACAUGACGCUUCUAGUCGAUGAUUAGAAGGAACAGAAGACAAACUACGGUACUGCUGAACAUACGAAUUAAUAAUUCAUUUAAUAAGACACCGCAAUAAAACGUUCAGCGGUAUCCGUUAACAAGAAAACCCUGUACGUGUCCCAGCAAAAGUAAAGAGUAAUUUCUCUUAACUAAACCUAUACUAGUAAAAAGUACGAUUAAAGUAAAGAGUAAUUUAAUAUAUGAUCCCUACUAUGGUUAUACUUAUACAAAAUGGUACAAAUCAAAAUAAUCUGAACUACCGUAUAUAUCAACCCGUGUAACACAAACUAAUUUUAUGAGUUACCGUAAUCAGCGAAGAAAAGGUGAAUACAACUCGAUAGGGAACUCUUCUUAUUUUCGUUCUCUUUAUAGCGUGAAGUACUUACUACGAAAGGAUACUUAGAGUGUGUAUUAAAAUCUAGUAAGGUUAUAAAAUGCUAUCCCCAUUAUAACAGAAGGGUAAUAAAACCUUGAAUAGAUGAGAGGGAUAGUCUUAACUUUACUCGAGUGGAUUCACCAGAAGUUCAUACUUCUGUUAGAACAUACGAAAAAAUCAAACCAGCACGUACUCGUCAUGAUUAAUGAUAAACGUAUAAACACAUAUGUUCUUACUUCUUAGUCAUGUACAUACAGGAGUAUAAGUCAGACGUACCAUUAACCGGAACAGUUAUUCGACCAAUGUGUUUAGAUACAAUUAUUAACUUACCAAACGAAUAAAACAACUCAAUCAGGUGAAAGACUUUAGGAGGAGAUCUAUAAAUAAAAACAAGGAAACUGAUCUCUAGUCUUCCUUCUGGAUAAGAUGUAAGUGGUCUCCUCCCCCGAUUGACUAGAGAAUGUACGAAAAAAAUUAAGUUUUUGAACACUCGUAGUUGGGUACAAAAAAAUUGAACUCUCUUAUGUUUUUAUACCAUCUGGUUCUAAUUUUUGAUUAUAAUCGAAUAACGUUAAACCUCGACCACCCUUAAGGAAUAGUAAUACACGAACAUUUACGAUACUUUAUAUCUACCUUUCGUAUUAACUCUUACCAUAUCAAACGAAAGGUCAUAAUCUUCUUUUAUUCACGGAUUUAAGUAUCAACAUCGGACUUUACAAUAUCUUAUAGACAUCAAUAACCAUUUACAUCAUUUAGUUUGACUAGAAAAAGGAAAAAAGGUUGAAAGGAGAAUUACCGGAACACUUUAAACACCCCAUCACUAAAGAUUUGUGAACACUAUAAUAGAAGGAAAAACGUGCGUAAUUAACAAGAAACCAUCAACAGAAACAAUGAGUACAAAUUUUAAAGAAUUUACGUAACAGACUUUACAGUAUAACUCAUCAAACUGUCUUGUUUGGCUGUUUUGCAUGAUACAAGGUGUCGAUUAAAUAUUUACAAUAAACUACAUGUACAGUAAGAAUCGAGAGGUACCAAACGAAACAACAGGACAAAGGUAUCCACCUAAAUGUAUCUCGGUAUAUUGGUAAGGUAAGAAGAUGAUAAGUACGAUCGUCGCUCUCAACAAGAUCGUCGUGUUGAUGAUUGGAAAUAAACAACGUUCGUGCCUUAUCGGAAGAGGGUAAUUACAAAAUGUACGUAGCCACUACAGAUUAAGUUUAACAUACAAACAUCUCUUGGUUCACGGGACUGGAUGCGAUAUUUCUCUAGUACACUUUUGUUUCGACUUCAACAACGAGCCCUACUCUUCCUUUCACUAGAAACUCGUUGUGAUCUAGAUCUGGUUCUUGGUGACCGACUGAAUCUUGUGCUCAAUCAGCUAACAACACUAUUGUCAUUCCCAACUCUCACUCGCCCCUCUUCCAAUCUCAAACAGACAAGUCAAUGUCAAGACUCGUCUUAUUAAAAAGAUAAAAUCUUUUACACCGUUUAACGUAAAGUAGUCUCUACCGAAACGACAUUUAACGUACUAACUCUCCAAAAAUAUAUAAAAAGUAGUUCAGCAUGUUAAAAAAAGAAACCUAUCUUUCCAUUUACGUAUCCAUCCAACUAAGUUCUCAAUUAUUACCUGUAGUACCGCAUAGUCAACGUACCUGUAGUAUAAAAAUAAAACACUAUUACGUACUGUAAGUUGAUAUACAAUGUUGCACUGUUACUGAGCCUUCUGUAGUCUAUACGGAAGAACCGAGCCUCCCACAGUGCCCGCCGCGUGCGGAGGAGCGGUUUAUUGCCACCGAUCCCUGAGGUGGAACCGCCAGGCACCACCUUCAUGUCACACUUCUUAUCUCCCACGGUACUGCUUCCACUCGGCCCACAGUAGACCAAACCUGAAGGUGUAAAGAGUGGGUGUAUACCCGACCUAAAUCCCCCGGGCCUGGUAGAUCUACGAACCUAAAACCCCUCGGACGAUCCGUGGGUAAACUACAGACUUGUACGAGCUUGCAUGCUCUCUGUUUACUUGAAGUUUGAACCUCCGCUGUAAUUAAUAAACAAACUACACAGUAACAAUCUCACUACAUUACCAUUUCAUACAUAUGUUGCUGUGUAUACACGUACCUCGAACAUUUUUAACAUAUAAUCUGU
rnacentral:rRNA from 1 species